rnacentral:misc_RNA from 1 species
AUCGUCGCCCCCAUCCAACCCCGAACCCUCGGGACUCGGUUGGACCGCGGGCGGAAAUUGGCCUCCCGUGCGCUCACAGCUAGCGGUUGGCCUAAAUUCGAGUCCUCGACGACAUCAUCGUCGCGACGAUCGGUGGUAAUGCUGUAAGCAACCUCGUUCUGAGUCGUGCGCGUUCGUCGAUCGAGACCCUUGAACCCUUUUGGCAUCGCAAGGACGGUGCUCGCA